AUACGUAGGGGGCGAGCGUUGUCCGGAAUGAUUGGGCGUAAAGGGCGCGUAGGCGGCGCGGUAAGUCUGGAGUGAAAGUCCUGCUUUCAAGGUGGGAAUUGCUUUGGAUACUGCCGCGCUUGAGUGCAGGAGAGGUUAUCGGAAUUCCCGGUGUAGCGGUGAAAUGCGUAGAGAUCGGGAGGAACACCAGUGGCGAAGGCGGGUAACUGGACUGCAACUGACGCUGAGGCGCGAAAGUGUGGGGAGCAAACAGGAUUAGAUACCCUGGUAGUCCACACUGUAAACGAUGAAUGCUAGGUGUAAGAGGUAUCGACCCCUUCUGUGCCGCAGUCAACACAAUAAGCAUUCCGCCUGGGGAGUACGGCCGCAAGGUUGAAACUCAAAGGAAUUGACGGGG
rnacentral:rRNA from 1 species